rnacentral:misc_RNA from 1 species
GUUAUGGUUGAUGGCCAACAGACACGAUUAUAUGGUGGCUUAGCAACAAUCUCUGCUGAUAACCUUUCAGCCCAUGCACUGGCUGGUUUUCGUCGUGUUUUUAAUUCUGGUUUUUUUUGUCGUCAGUAUAUGACUUCAUAUACUAACAAAAAUAAUAUAUUUUCUGAGCUUGAUGCAACACUUCGUACUGAUGAAAUCCAUCAGUAUCACUUGGCUGCUAUUUAUGGCCAAGGUCAAAUUUCAUCAAGUAUGUAUGGUGUUGAAAGACGUUGUCCUUUUUUAGAUUUAUCAUAUUUUAAAGUUAUGCAAUCGUUUCCACCAGACAUAAUGCAUGACAUGCUGGAAGGUACAAUUCCUCGAUUAAUUAGUCUAUUGUUGUUAAAACUCAAAGAAGAUAAGUUAAUUUCGAUUGAUCAGAUAAAUGUAGAGCUUAAUACAUUUGAAAUAGGUAGAAAUGACAGAUUGAAUAAACCAGUUCCAUUUGUUGUACGUUCUGCUACUUUUAUUAAUUUUAUUGGAUCAGCCUCACAAAAAUAUUGUAUGUUUCGUUUGUUACCAUUUAUGAUAGGGAAUCGUAUACCUAUGUCUAACAAAUAUUGGUUGCUGUAUUUACAGCUUAGAGAAAUAGCUGAUUAUGUGUUUGCUCCAAAAAUUUCUAAAUCGGUGUUAUCAUUUCUGCAAUUUUUAGUGGAGCAGUUUUUGCACAAUUUUGCUGAACUUUUCUCAGACAAUUUUACACCUAAGUUUCAUUUCAUGCUUCAUUAUGCUCGUCUUAUUAAUGAUUAUGGGCCACUACGUUAUUUAUGGUGUAUGCGUUUUGAAGCAAAACACUUGUAUUUCAAAAAAUUGGCUUCUUCGAUUAGAAAUUUUAAAAAUAUUGCCUAUUCGCUUGCAAAACGACACCAGUUACGGCAGUGUUGGGAGAUGACAUCCUCAGAUUUCUUCAAAGAAUAUGAGAAAACUUAUAAUCUUUGUUCCAUUAUGUUUGAAAGUUUAGCAGCUUCUAUUCAAGAAAAACUAAGGAAGAAAUUGAUGGAAAAACGCUGGUGUCUUUAACUGAGACAAUGGUGGCCAGUUUAUGUCAGACGAUUCGUUGGCAAGUAGUACUCAUUGAAAUUAUAAGGCAUCUUAUAACUUCACAUGAACAGCACGAAAGAACUAGCUCUUAUGUUAUUGAAAAUGAUGUUUUAAAUACAUCAAUAACAUCCCCAAUAUCUUGUGAUGAAGAUGGUAGUAUGAUUGCUGGAGUGUCCCAAAGUAUGAAACCAUGGCCAGUGUGUUAUCAACUACCCAUU